rnacentral:lncRNA from 1 species
UGCCACGUGACGACACAGCAACAAGACGCCUUCUUGGAAGCAGAGAGAUGGGACCGUCAGCAGGCACCAAACCUGCUGGCACCUUGAUCUUAGGCUUCCUGGCCUCCAAAACUGUAAAGAAAAAGAAUGAAGAAAAAGAGAAAGAAGAGAAAGGGAAGAUGCAACAGGCAGCAGAUGGUUGGGAAAAAAUUAAAAGAGAAGAUGAGAAAUAUGAAGAAAGAGGAGAAGAUUUGAAGAAAAUAAAGCAAAAUGUUGAUUUGACUUAAGUGAUGAAUACAAAGGGUCAACUGUAUAUCAAACUAUCAUCAAUACUAAGCAUGCAGAAUGUUAUAAAAGUAUGUCAACUAUGACAUAUGAUGUCAGCACCUCAAACCAAAUUUCACUUCAGUUUAGGUUUGAUUUGAAAACAUUUUGAUGUUAUGGUUCUGUGGUUUUACAGAAUACUUAAGACUGGUUUGGGUUUGAAUAGGUUGAGUAGGUUUAAAGUGAAACAUUUCUUCAUUGGUUUGUGGUUAACCAAUUUAUUGUUUCAGAAAUUAAAGCUGGUUAGCCAGGCCCAGGUUUGAGUUCCAAGUUCAAUUCAGUUCAAGUUCCUGGCAAAUGUACAAUGAGAAAAGUUUAUGAUUCCAAAAUUAUUAUGUGCCAAAGAUCCCAACUUCCUCAAAAACCACAAGUCUCUCACAACCCUCUCUUAUUUUUGAUGGGAUAAGAGAAAUGUGCCAGCAAGAGGCUGCCCACAGCAUCAACCCAAAGUCAAACCGAAGACAGGCAACACCUCAUCUGAGAGUAAAGAAGACCCCUAUGGUUUCACUUUCAGCAGCUGCAGUGUGAUAACUGAAUUACAAUGUGUACCUUUCUUGAGCAUCAGAAAUCUCUACAUUGGCCGAGUGCAGUGGCUCAUGCCUGUAAUCCCAGCACUUUGGGAGGCCAAGGCAGGUGGAUCACCCGAGGUCAGGAGUUCGAGACCAGCCUGGCCAACAUGGUGAAACUCCAUCUCUACUAAAAUACAAAAAAUUAGCUGGACAUGGUGGCCGGCGCCUGUAAUCCCAGCUAGCUACUCAGGAGGCUGAGGCAGGAGAAUCGCUUGAACAAAGGAGGCAGAGGUUGCAGUGAGCCGAGAUCAUGUCAUUGCACUCCAGCCUGGGAAACAAGAGCAAAACUCCAUCUCAAAAGAAAAAAGAAAAAAAGAAUUCUCUACGUUGACAACACUCAACCAUGAUAUCUGGACACAAAAGUGCAUUUCUUUCAUUUAGAAGAUGUGUCAAGCAAGCAUUUGCAAAUAAUUGUUUAAUUUUUGUAAGUGGAUAUAUCAAUGCACACACAUUCAUAUAUAUAACAAUUGUAUAUAUGUGUGCAUUAAUGAAUUAUUCUCAAUCACUUGUAUUCUGAUAAGAUUUCUUGUCUAGGAGAAAAAUGCCUUGGAUGGCAAGGGGUACAUAUUUGGGAAUGUUCUCCACAUAUGAGCACAAACUAUCGUAUAUGGCAUCAGGAAAAUGUGACAGAAGAUACUUUGCAAUAUCUUAUUCCUGUUCAUACCAUAAGAUAAGGUUGAGAAUGAGCACAUGAGGAUCCGGACCAGGGGCUAGGUGCUGAGGCCUGCCUACAGACUUCACAGGUCUUGGAUUCUCUAAAGCAUUGGAAUGGCUAUGGGUGAAUAGCUGAGGCCUAUUAGACGAUUUGCACUGAGAAUAACUAGACUGAACAAUAUCACAGAUCACAGACACCUGCAAACGACCAGUCUAAAUUUUUUUUUUUAGACGGAGUCUUACUCUCUUGCCCAGGCUGGAGUGCAGUGGCACGAUCUCGGUGCUCACUGCACCCUCUGCCUCCUGGGUUCAAGCGAUUCUCUUGCCUCAGCCUCCUGAGUAGCUGGGACCACAGAUGCACACCACUAUGCCCAGCUAAUUUUUGAAUUUUUAGUAGAGACA